CUGACCGAUAGUGAACCAGUACCGUGAGGGAAAGGCGAAAAGAACCCCGGCGAGGGGAGUGAAAAAGAACCUGAAACCGUGUACGUACAAGCAGUGGGAGCACAGAGCAAUCUGUGUGACUGCGUACCUUUUGUAUAAUGGGUCAGCGACUUAUAUUCUGUAGCAAGGUUAACCGAAUAGGGGAGCCGAAGGGAAACCGAGUCUUAACUGGGCGUUAAGUUGCAGGGUAUAGACCCGAAACCCGGUGAUCUAGCCAUGGGCAGGUUGAAGGUUGGGUAACACUAACUGGAGGACCGAACCGACUAAUGUUGAAAAAUUAGCGGAUGACUUGUGGCUGGGGGUGAAAGGCCAAUCAAACCGGGAGAUAGCUGGUUCUCCCCGAAAGCUAUUUAGGUAGCGCCUCGUGAAUUCAUCUCCGGGGGUAGAGCACUGUUUCGGCAAGGGGGUCAUCCCGACUUACCAACCCGAUGCAAACUGCGAAUACCGGAGAAUGUUAUCACGGGAGACACACGGCGGGUGCUAACGUCCGUCGUGAAGAGGGAAACAACCCAGACCGCCAGCUAAGGUCCCAAAGUCAUGGUUAAGUGGGAAACGAUGUGGGAAGGCCCAGACAGCCAGGAUGUUGGCUUAGAAGCAGCCAUCAUUUAAAGAAAGCGUAAUAGCUCACUGGUCGAGUCGGCCUGCGCGGAAGAUGUAACGGGGCUAAACCAUG
rnacentral:rRNA from 1 species